AUCCAGCUGAUGAAUCCCAAACAGGACGAAACGCGCGUCCUGGAU
rnacentral:hammerhead_ribozyme from 1 species